rnacentral:rRNA from 1 species
UAUCUCUGUAGAGUCUGCAUAUCAAUAAGCGGAGGAAAAGAAACUAACUAGGAUUCCCUCUAGUAACGGCGAGUGAAGCGGGAAGAGCUCAAAUUUGAAAUCUUCAAGGUUCUACCUUGACGAAUUGUAGUUUAAAGAAGUGUUUUCUGUUGGUAGUUUUGGUAAAAGUUCUUUGGAAUAGGACAUCAUAGAGGGUGAGAAUCCCGUAUUUGACCAUUACUUCCAGCUUUGUGAUACACUUUCAAAGAGUCGGAUUGUUUGGGAAUGCAGUCCAAAAUGGGUGGUAAAUUUCAUCUAAAGCUAAAUACUGGCGAGAGACCGAUAGCGAACAAGUACCGUGAGGGAAAGAUGAAAAGAACUUUGAAAAGAGAGUUAAACAGUACGUGAAAUUGUCAAAAGGGAAGCGUUUGACACCAGUGUUGUUUUCUCGAAAAUCAAUUAAAAAAGGCAGGAUUUUGUGUUGUAUUGACUUUAUCAGCUUUCUGCACUCUUUUCUUGUCUUUUUUAAUGCACUUUUCGUUUAACAAGUCAACAUCAAUUUCUUUUGUUGUAAAAGGGUCAUUGGAAGGUGGCUUUCUUUUCGGAGAAAGUGUUUAUAGCCUUUGGCCUCUGCAAUCGGAGAGAUUGAGGUCUGCAGCGCAGAUCCUUCGGGGUUAGAUACAUUUGUGCUAAGUUAUAGCCUUUCAUAGACAACUUGUUGACUAUGAUCAGUCAUGUAGCUUACUCGCUUGUGCUAUUUUACCUACGCUUAGGAUGUUGACGAUCAGCUGAGCGCG